rnacentral:lncRNA from 1 species
CAACAACAACAACAACAACAAACCCAGUGUAUUCCCACUUUGUGGGGUCUGGGGGGGGUAAGAUGUACGCAGUCCAUACCUCUACCUCUGAUGAAGUAGAAAGGCUGUUUCCGAAAGACCCCCGGCUCAAGUUACGAGAUAUCAAACAAACACAUAGUACAGCACAGAAGCAGAUGACAUAACAUAGAUACGGCAGCCAUAAGGAAUAUAAAACAGAGUAAAGCAGGAAUACAGGAAUAUAAAGCAGAGGAAAGCACACAGAUUCGUAACAAACAUAGAACACGGAACACGGAACAGAACAUUGAAUACGGAAUCAUACCAGGAAUACACCCCCACCAAUUACCUCCCUACAUUAGCGACCCGAACAGGCCCUAAUCCUCUGCCGUAAUUCGCGUCUUCCAGACCUUCCUAUCUAGGGUCAUGUCCUCGGUAAGCUGUAACUGUUCCAUGUCCCGCCUAAUCACCUCACCCCAGUACUUCUUCGGUCUACCCCUACCCCGUCUAAAACCAUCCAACGCUAGCCUCUCACACCUACGGACCGGGGCAUCCAUGCCCCUCCUCUUCACGUGUCCGAACCAUCUCAAUCGUGCUUCCCGCAUCUUACACUCCACUGAAGUCACCCCAACCUUCUCCCGGAUAGUCUCAUUCCGAGCUCUAUCCCUUCGGGUCAGUCCACACAUCCAGCGCAACAUCCGCAUUUCUGCCACCUUCAUUCUUUGGGUGAAAAUAUAAUCGAUAAGUGUUGGUCCAAUUUUCCAACAAUGUAGAUGAAGUUCCACUCCUUGGUUCCCACCAUAUAAAUUGUUGCACCUUCUCCUAUUUUGCGAUAUAACUUCCCACACUUGAGAACUACCUGUCCAUUGCAUCAAAGCUAGAAUUUUUUUUAUAGUAAUUAUUCCAUAAGAAAUUAGUACGUAAAUUAUUAUGUCCUAAAUCUCCACCACAACUUAGCAUGCAUAGGUUAAGGCAAAUCUUCUAAACUCUGAUCCACCUUCUUCUUUGUGUAAACAGACCUUGUCCCAAGCUAACCUGUGUUUGUGUUUACUUAUUUAUUUUUAUGUUAAAAGAAUUUAGCAAAAAAUAUUUGUAAGUAUUUUACCACACUUUUAGGAGUAUUGAUAUGAUGCAUUGGGGAUGCUUUGUAGAACACUUUUCAGCAACACUUUCUUUCCUCUAAUGGAUAAGACCUAUCCUCCCAGGUCUAUAAUUUAUUCCUAACUUUAUCUAUCAAAUUUGCAAAGUGUUUUUUCUGCUUCUUUAAAUAAGAAAUAGGAAAACCAAGGUAGUUUAGAGGCAAUGAACCUUUAGUUAUUCCUGUGAGUUGUUCCACCUAUUUUAUCACAUUCCUAGAUGCAAUUUGGUGCAUAUAAAAAAGCUUUUGCCUAUGUUUACCUUCUGCCAGAUUCAUUCUCAUAUUCCAGUAAAAGCAUCAUAAUUUUUCAAUUGAAUAGUUAUUUGGGAUCCACUUAGGCUUACCAUAUCCUACAAAUAACUCAUCCUUAAAUAGAUGAUUAAGAGCCCUUGUCAUCACCUUACCAAAUAUUUUAAAAGAACAGGUGGCAUAGAGUCUCCUUAUUUCACUUCCUUAGUAGAAUAGAAUAAACUUAAUAUUUUCUAUUUAAUAACAUUGAGUAAUAAUUAUUAGAUAUCAGUCUCCAAACUAUAUCCACUACUCUAUUAGAGAAUCCCAUUUUUAUGAGAACUUUUAUAAAAAAAUAUCAAGAGACCUAUCAUAAGCUUUGGUCAUGUCAAGUUUAAGAACCACAUUAGAAGGCUCACCUCUUUUUUCUAUAUCAGUAACCUGCUCUUAUGUUAACAACUCAUUUUCAACAAUAAUUCUCUUUUUCACAAAACUUGACUGAUGAGGAGAGAUUAGUCUAGGCAAAAUAUUAUCCAAUCUAUAUUGAAUAAUUCUUGACAUUAUCUUGCAUAAAAUUACUCAAACUAAUUAGUCUCAAGUUUAAAAAGGAUUGCACAAUAUCCUUUUUAGGGAUGAGAUCCAGGUUAGUAGGAGUAAUAGAUUUUGUAAGGGUAUUACCUGAAAAAAAGUCUAGCACCAAUCUGAUAAGUCCAACUUAACAAUGUCCUAACAAGAUUGGUAAAACCUCUAGAAAUCAUAUCAAGAGAAUAAAUAUUGUCCCCAUUCAAAGUAAAGACAACCUUUUAAAUCUUUUUCAAUUCAGGAAGGCCUUUAAACAUCAUUACAUUCAUUAGUAACCAUCUAACGAAUAAGAUCUAGAAGAGAGAAGUCACAUACAUCCCUCUUUUGAGAGAACUGCUUCUGAUAAAAAUUAAUAGCCUCAUUGGAAAUUUUAUCCUCUUCUUCUAACCAACAACCCUAAUCAUCAAGAAUUCUAGCUACCUAAAGUCUAUUUGUCCUUCCAUUCAUAAUAGUAUCAAAGAAUCUUGUAUUUAUGUCACUACUUUUAAACCAAUCAUACCCUAUCUUUUGUUGCCAAAAUCUCCCCUCUAAGUAAAGAUAUCUGAGGUAUUCUGCCUUAGCCCUUUCCAUUACAACCCUAUUUUCCUGAGAUGGAUGAUCUUGAAUAUUUUUACUUUAGUCUUGGCUAACUUUUCUCUAAUACACAGUUGCUAAAAAAAUAUCCCCAUAUACUUGCCUUCUCCACAAAGUGAGUGCCUUCUUGACACACUUACACUUUCUUUUGAAAUCCAAAAUAGGAUUUUCAGUAAUAUUAGAAUUCUAAUUCCUUCUUACCACAUCCAUCAAGUCUGUAUGUUAAGUCUAAAAUUAUAGAAAUUUAAAGUAUCUUUGAAUCUACUUGUUCUGUUCUCAUAGUUUAAUGAUAAAGAAGUAUGAUCUGACCCAUCUCUAGAUAAAUGUUCAACCUUUACAUGGAUGAACAACCCUAAAAACUAGAAUUGGUUAAAAAUCUAACAAGCCUUUAGAAUAUGCAAUUAUCUUAUGCUCUACCAUUCCACCAUGUAAAGGGGCUACACUUGUAUUGUACUUGUGUCAAAUCACAAUAUCUAACACAAUUUUUAAAAUCUUCUACAUCUUUAUAUACCACUGGAAACCCCCAUUCUUUUCAACACUAUUUAAAAUAAUAUUGAAAUCAUCCCCUAUAAUCCAAGGGGUGUUGAGAUUGUUGGCUAUAAAGUAAAUACUCUCUCACAAUCCCAAUCUCUAACUUUUAUCAUAUUUAACAUAAAUAACUAUCUUCAUGAAUGAGCUACCACUGUCUUGAUCACUUAACAACAUGGAAAGUUAUUGUUUAGUAUCACUAACAACUGUAUCAUUAAAACCAUGGUUAACAAAGAACUUAAUUUUACCAUUACAGUUGUGAAAAAUUUAAGGCAUUUGUAUUUUGUUCUUAUAUCUGUUGAUAGUUCAGAUGUGUUGAAAAGGACCUAGUAAACCCUAUUAAAGAAAAUUUAUGAAACUUAUUUAACAUCUAGAUUCUCAGAAAAUCCCUUUGUGACUUUAAAUAUAUAAUAUUCCAUACAAUGACCUUUAUUAUAUUUUUGCAUUUUGAUCCACUCCAAUUUUCUUUUAUUAGGUUUCAGCUAGCAGUAAAGCCUCCUAGUACCCUAUUUAUUUCCUUUUUUUUUUUUACUAAUUUGACUUACUUGGUUGCUCUUAGUGAUAAAUCAAUAUUCCUACUUAUCUCUUCUUAAAGAUGAAUAAAUUUUUCCUUACCACCUUUUAUUUUUGCAUAAACUUCUACCAUCUUAAGAUUAUGAGAUAGAAUAUAAUGCAACACAUCAUCCGGACACUCAACUAUACCACUCCAGAUUGGAGUUACAUCAAUAUCUUAUGAGGAAUCUACAAUAGCCAGUUUACUAUUCCUUGUAGUUGAUAAACUCUUUUUAUUACUGGUAACUGUUGCUGCUUGUUGCUUAUUCUGAUUAUCAAUUUCUUUGAUCUCUUUUAGUUCUACUUGUUCAUCACUACCAUUACCUUGAGAAGUAUCUUCUAGAGUAAUCAAUUUAUGAUCACUCUUAUCCACCUCUAUUGCUAGUUUAAUAUUUGUGACAAUGUUCUUGUCAGAUCUUACUACUUUGUGCAUACCAGGACUAGCUUUUAUAUCUUCUUCACCACCUUAAUAAUUAUCUACUUUGUUGUACAAGGUAUCAUCUCCCUUUUAUGCUACUGGUACUUAUUUAUUCUUUCUACUACUGCUCAUAUUUGUAUCCAUUUCCUUCAUUGCUACAGGGUUCCCAUUAUUCUCUAUAAAUAGAGAUAAAUCAAAUUCUUUUCUAUAAGAAAGAUGUACAGAUUAAGUCCUUUGUAGACUCUUUUUUGUCCCCUUCCCCAUUUAUUUCAUUAUCUUGAUCCUUAUUUUGUGAUGUAAUAAUAGGCUUUUUAGCUCUAGUUUGAUCCUCUCCUUUUUUUGUCAAGCCUGUAAGGUAUUUGUGUUGCAAAUCUCUUUAUUUAGUGUUAUAGUUAUCUCACUAAGAUACCCCUCAUUAAUAAAUCUUCUCACAUUGGGAUCCACUAUCAAUUAGGACCAUAUAUUUUUUGAACUUGACCUUGGCAGGGCUAGCUUCAACCUCUACAUAUUAAGAGUCAUUCUUCUUCUUUACUUUCUCUUGAUGUGCUUAUUUUAGUCCAGGGUGAGAUACCUUACAAUCAUGACAAUUAUGUCCUUGGAUCAUAUACUUCUUGUAAUAUUUAAGUAAAGUCAUAUGUUACAAUAGAUGAUUUAUCUAUUUGAUGAAAUCCUAAUAGUUAUUCUAACAAAUGACAGUCCAUGACUUUUUACUUCUUCUAAUAGAUGGGUAAUCUAUUGCAAUAGAUGACCCAUAUGUUAGAAGAAAUCUAAAUAAUAUUGAUAGUUUGAUUUCUUCCAAUAGAUCACUUAUCUGUUACAACAUAUGUUUGAUUUAUCGAAAAAAAUAAAAGCAAUUUAAAUCAUAUUUGAUCUUCAUCAAUUCAAUUUGAGAUUCCUUUGUAUUAGAAUUGACAAUUUCCAUCUUAACACAUUUAGGAAGAUCUGUAAGAAAAUCCACCUGGACCUUAACCCUAGUACAACUAGGUCUUGCUUUGUUAAUCGUAGCCAAAUCCAAGUGAAUUAGCUUACCUAUAGUCGAUGCCAAUGAAAAUAAGGACUCUUUCAUGAAGAAAGUGGACUUAAGAUCAGGAAAAGAGAUCCAUGCCAUGGAUUGGGUUGUUUUCUCCUUCGUAUUGAUAUUAUCAUCAUAUAUUAGGGGCCAUAUAUGAUAGGAGUAACCAUCCUUAUCAGUAAUGUAGUACACAAGUUUUGCAUCACAUUCACAAAAUCUUCAAUAAGUCAAAUCUCACGAGAAUAUACAAUUCCUCUAAAAACCAAUCUUACAAUCUCCAUGUACAUUAAGUUAUUCAGGAAUUUGUAUGUAAAGGUCAUCCAAGUUCAGCCAACCAUACGAAAAUUUCCCAAUGACUACCCCCAGUCCACAUAACUCGAGGAUGCCAUUAAUGUAAUUAAUCUAUUUUAUCAGAAUGGGUUGGAUAAAAGGUUUAUUAUGAACUUUAGAAUUAUUAAUGGUCGAGGGCUUUAAUAGAUAGACAUAUUGCUCCUACCUUGUUGUAGGAUCACUAAUCAAUGAUGAAUUGAUAGGAAAACUUAUAGGUGCAAUAAAGGUAUUUUGAGAUAAGGGAGGGAAAUUUUCAUAUGAUUUGGUUAGAGUAGACUGUCCAGUGGCCUGAUUGGCCAUUUUUGGUGAUAUUAAGGUUCAGAUGCUGAUGACAACUAGGUUAAUAUCCUCCAUACAAUACCCUCUCUAUUUAGACAAUAAUGUUAAUUUUUUUGUUAAAUAAAAUCUGUAUUCAAUAAACUUCAACAAUAUGUUUAAACUAAAGUAUGAACAACCAAAUGAAGUUCCAACUAUAUUGUAAGGGAUUGAAUUUGUGAAUUAUUCAUUUAUAUGUGAGUUAACAAUUUUACCCCUCUCUGUGGUUGCUAUGUGAUGUUUCUAGGGCGUGGGGAUGAUUUACAUGGUUUCUAAUGCUUUGCAGUGUGUUUUGUGCAAGUUUGUGGUUUUUGGAUGUUUAAAAGGCUUUAUAGUUUACUUUAGCUAACAUUUAUUAUUUUGUAAGACAAAUGACAAAACAGACUACAUCAACAGAUCUGGAACAUUGAUUUUAUGUUGGUAGCUAGGCUGGUCUGAUUUUAUGGCUUUCAUAUCUCAUUUUGACCCUUGGUUUGAGAAAUUAUAAAAUUGGGUCUCGAGGGUCAAUUCUGUGAAAAUAACCUUUUUUAUAAAAUCUAUUGUCGCCAUUGAGUUUGGAGUGUCAAAUUUGAUAGGGCAGCAUAGUUUGUUUUCCUUCUUAGGAUUCUAAAUGAAUCUAAGGGAUCGAUGGAUACUUGGAAUUUUCGAAGUCUUUAUCUAGUGCAGUAUUAGCUGAUGUAAUCACUUAAGCGAUCCUAUAGUUGCUUAAGCAACCAAGAGGCUGCUUAAGCAAAGGCCAACUGUUAUGGACUAGUCGCUUAAGCUAUCACAGUUGGGCAUCUAUAUAAAAAGCAAUUUUCUUGAUUUUCUACCAUUUUUUGGACUUGGAGCUUCGGUUUUUAAAGUUUUUGGGCGAUUUAUUCCACUUUCAAGCAUGGGUAAGCUCCAAAUCCCUAUUUCAAUUAUUUUACUUUAAUUUUUGUUAUCUAAAUCUCAUUAAAAUAUAAAUGGUUUUCUUAAAGUUUAAAAAUCAUUUUAAACCUAUUUUCACUUUGUGUUUCUUCUAUGGCAUCCUUGAAUCAUAGUUAAUAUAUUAUUAGUGAAAAUUUUGGUUUUACUCUUCCUUUUUGAGACCCCAUUUUAGGGGUCUAUUGUGACCCCGACUAAAAAAUAUGCAAUAUAGGUGUCAUUGGCUUCUUUUUAAUGCAUUGAUUCUAUAUUUUUAUGGUUUAGUUGGUUUUGAGGCUUUUUAGGAAGGGAAGGUUCCAUUUUGAGGGUUGUUUGGAUUGAGUUUUCUAUGUUUGAGGUAGGUUCUGGCUUAGCUUUCUUCAAAGUGGGCUAGGUAGUUAAUAUUAAUAUAAAGCAUGCUAUGGGUAUGGGUAUUAAUCAUAAAAAUGGUGUUAUUACUGUUAUGUACUCGUGUGGGGCCCUAUGUGUUGUAUUAGUGUUUUGAGAUAUUAUUUUCUCUCUAUGACCCAUGUAGGGGCCUUAUAUGAUGUUGUUACUUGUAUAUAUAUAUAUAUAUAUAUAUAUAUAUAUAUAUAUUUGGUUGUAUUCUUUCUGUUGGUGUCACUAAUCCAAAAUCAAGGGUCAUGAUGGAACUUGUCAUGACAAGAAUUUACAAGUAAACCUAUUAGCCAAAUAGAUAUGAAAUGAGAAAUCACUACCAAAACUCAAGGCAAGGCUUCUCGAGCGAAGCCAAACCAUACAAAUAUGAUAAUAGCGGAUAUACAAAAUCAAAGAUACUAAACAAUAUCCCAAAACCUUGUAUCACAUUGUAAGAACUGGUAAAUGCAUCUCGAAUGUCAAAGAUUUAAUAAUAUAUCAGAAGAAUUAUAAUAUAUCUCUUAAUACAAACAAGACAUGAAAAAGAUAAAUAAAGUUAGAAGAUCAACUUCGAAAGCAUAGAUCAUCCGCUACCUGAAUAUACUCCAGAUACUGCCUGAAUCAGCUAUUGUGUGGUGCACUCAUACCUGGAUCUGUACUAAAAGGGAAUUGUAGGAGUGAGUACAGGUCCAGUUGUACUUAGUAGGUAUCAUUGGCGGACUGAGCAAUGUAGAAAAUAAAGCAUAUAAAACACACAUAAUGGAAACGUCACCUGUAAUCAAAAGAUGUCCCAAAUAUUAGACCACACAACCUCUAAUAACAAUUAUACAAUAUGCACGUAUACCAUACAUAAAUACAAAAAAUAAACACAAAUAUACAUGUAUAAUAAUUUCAAGUAUAAGAAAGGAGUACAAAUAGAACAAUAAUACAACAAAUAAUGAGCACAAUAUGUGUGAAAUGCAAUAAAGAUAAUGAUGAUGAUAAUGAUGAAGUGAUGAUGAUGUGUGCUCGAGGUUGACACAUAACCUCUAUAUACACAUAUCAAAUUGUGCUUCUAGGUCGGACCCAUGGUAGGUUCACAACCCAUAUACAAUCCAAUAUUCAAUACCAAUAUCCAUAAUUCCUCUUCGAUACAUACAUCGAUAGAAAGGUUUUAAAGAUGUCAUAUUUUUAUCAGAAAAAGCCAGUGUUUCAAGUAUUUCCCCGGUGUUACUAAUGUUUCAUGAAUGUAUAUGAUAUGAGGAUGUAAUGCUCAUAACUAACCAUAAUGAGAGUUUCAAAGUCCAACCAAUAUACCAACCAUGUAAGCCACAAUCCACUCAAUAUGCCAACCAUCCAUUAAUCUAAUAUAAUCCAUAUGCCAAUAGAGUAAAAUACAUAAAAAUAUGCCAAUGAUACCACAUAAAUUAAAUUUAGGCCAUUUUCACAAGAAAAGAUACAAUCAACUAUACAUACUUGAGGCCAACAACAAUAUCACAAAAAUCUAUUGAAUAGCAACAACGUAGGCCUCCAUACAGGCACAAUACAUUAGUAUAACCAUUUCAUGAUUGGUUCCAACACCCAUAACAUGAUUUUUUACUAAGAUUAACUACCCAAUCAAGUCGGAAGAAAGUUAAGCCAUGACUAACCUUAAAUGCCAAAAUUGGCACAAAAAAGCCUUCCACAUCGAGCUUUUGCCUUAUGAACGGACCGAAAAUCAAGCAAAAUACACAAAUAUAGAACAUACGCGUUAAAAUAAAGGCAACAAUAACCAUAUUGCCCAUUUCUAAGUCAGGUUCAAGACAGACCCUCAAAAUGAGUUUUCAAAAAUGAAGGGUAGAAUUGAAAUUUUGUCCACAAAUAUGUUUUCCAUGAUUAAAGGAACUCAUAGAAGAAAACCCAAGUAAAAUGGGUUUACAUUGGGGUUCAUAUCAAGAAAGCACUAAUUUAGGCUCUCUGGGAUAGAAUCCCCAAAUAACACUUUCAAAUUCAAGCAUUAACAAGGUGUAAAUAAUAAUAAUUGAAGAAAUAUAAUUGAAAUAGGGAUUAAGAGCUUAACCAAGCUUAAAAAUGGAAGAAAUAGCCCAAAACCUUGAAACCCCAAGCUCCAAGUCUAAAAAAUUAUGGAAGAAUAGAGAAAAUGAUUAUAUAUAUGGUACCAGAUGUCACUAAAGUAGUCAAAAUACCCCUUUAGCGGUCACCGUUAAAGUGGUCAAGUACCGCUUUAGUGGUAUCUACAAUACACACCGGUCCUCCAAAGCGAACAAGGGCUACUUUAGCACCUACCGCUAAAGCGUAAAGGAGAUCACUAAAGCAUCUUUGCCCAGUUAGGGUCAGUGCUAAAGUAUCCAGGUAGAGAUUUAUCGCCUACUACUAAAAUGUCCAAAAUAGCGUAUUAGCAGCUACAACAGCGGAGUGGUGCACCAACUAUGGAGACUUGGAAAAUUCAAAGUCUCCAGGGCCCCUCAGGAUUCAUCCAAGAUCAUGAGAAUGCAAAUGAAGUAUGCUACCCUAUCAAAUUCAAUGAUCUAGACUCAAUAGAUAUAUCAUAGUUUUGAAAGAUGUUUUCACAAAAUUGAUCAAUGAAACCCAAUUUCACAACAUUUUGAAUUGGGGGUCAAAAUGAGAUAUAAAAUCCAUAAAAUCACACCAACCAUAUUACCAACCUAAAAUAAAUAUUCCAAAUCUGUAGGUGCAUUCAGUUUUGCCAUUCAACGCAAGGAUCAAUAAAUAUUGAUUGAAGUCAACUAAAAGCCUUUAUAAUAAUCAAAAACUGUAAUCUCACACAAAUCAUACUAAAAUGCAUUAGAAAUUGUGCCAAUCAUCCCCACAUGCUAGAAAUACCAUAAUAUAACCACGUGGAAGGGUAAAAUGGUUAAAUUACUCAAAAAUGAAUAAUUCACAUAAAUCAUCAAAAAAUUUCAUCUUUACAUCAUCCAUCACUAAGAAUCUAGUUUGUCCUCAAACUAAAGGCAACAUAAAUACCCGAAUUAGCAAAAAUCUAGGAUAACUAUCACACAUAUCAUACUCAACCUCCAAAAUAGUGUAAUGACCCUCUAGGUCAUUUUUUAUAUUUCUACUAAUUUUUACUAUUCGAGAUUUUUCAUAGCUACCACAAGCCAUUUAUAACUUAAUGGGACUGACAGUUCGGUUACUGGGCAGUUAGUUUGGUCUUUAUAUCCAGUUCUCUAUUUAGAAAUCUUCGUUGGAUCUAAAUGGGCACCGAACAAAAAAUUUAGUAAAACAACUCGGAUACAAAUUCUAAUUGUUCCAAUAGCUCUGAAAUAUCAAUUUAAGGCUAGGUAGACCUUUGGUUUAGGUCCCGAUGCACCCAAGCUCAUUUGACCUAUUGGUUGAAAAGUUGAAAAUUAGAAAUUUGGGUAUGGGACCCAUCUUUGGCUGAAACAACCUCGGAUGGAAUAUUAAACUUUGCCAUUACAUAUAGAACAUGAAAUUUAUUAUGGUUAUAAAGCUCAUUUGCAUAUAUCAAAUUCAUAAUAAGUCCCGAGGCCUUAGUGAAAACUUAGAAAUUCCAAGUUUCAGCUUUCAGCUGAGGUUUGGUGCUAUAGCAAUCGUACCCCCUAGGCUUAUGAUCAUGCCUCAGUGUGCAGAGAGGGGUAUUACAAUUUUACAAGGGUGUUUUAUGAUUAAAACAUCUAGUUCUGACACUAUAGUGUGAUUGUGGUUUGCAUAUUGUUAUUACAAUAUUUGAUUACCUAGUAUGGGUAUAAAAAGGCCCUUUAUGCUAUGUUUUGGUCUUUUCUCAACCACUCUCAUGAAAGAAAAAAUCCUAAAGUGUAUGGAAACUCAAAUUUAAGACUUGUGGAUGACUUGGGAGCUUGAUUAACAUUUAUUAUCAUGAAUAACUUUAGAUUUAAGGUAAGAUAUCAUCCCUUUCUUGAUGAAUUUCUUAGUUUAUGACCCAAAACCCCAAAUAGCUUGAGAAAUUGAUUUUAGCAUAAAAUUAGCUUGAUUUUCACCCAUUCUUAAGAGUUAUAAUUCCUUUAUCAUGUAUGAACAUCUGGUUGACCUCAAAAAUAUGAUUUUCAUAAGUGGGACCUACUUAAGAUUUUGGGUGUCAUUUUUGAACCUGAAGCACAAUGGUGCAAUAUGAGCAUUGUUGUUCUUGUAUUAAUGAGUAGAUUAAAAUAUUGAUAGUGUUUGGUAUUUUGGGAUUGUGAAGUGAAGAUAGACAUUUGGUGAAUAAUGUAAGGAUUUUUGAUUUGGCCUUGAGGUAUAUUUCUGUCUAUUCUUCUUCGUAAGAUGAUGCGUGUUAUAUAUUAAGUAUGAAUAUGAAUGUUAAGUUUUAUUAUGGGUACAAUGAGUUGGUUUUGAAUAUUGAUAUUUGGGGAUUAGAUAAGAGUUUGACCUGUAAGUUGAAUGUUUUAUCUUUGUUUGAAUCCCAUUGUCUCCUUCCUAAAUUGAACUAAUUCACAGAAUGAAUAUGAUAUAAUAGUAGGUUUGGGAUGUGGUUUUAUCAUUAGAAGCAUGGUUAAUAUCUUUAACCUUAUUUAUGCUAUUGUGGUGAUCUUGAAACCUUAAUUUAGGUAGAGUUGAUUUAAAUGGCCAUAUUUCUAGGUAAAAUUCCUAUCUUAGGAUUGGUUAUGAUUUACUUGACAUCUAGAAGUUAAACUAGAUACCUUAGCCUAGAUUGGGGUAUAAAUUGCCUAAAUAUGGAAAUUAAGGAUUACACAUGGGUUCUUUCAGCCUACCUUAAUUUAAGACUUUUGUUAGCCCUUGUGGGCGAAGUUGCGAAUUUUAGGCUUGGUUUAGACUAUUGGACCUUUAGUAUAAUGUUUCUUUGUGACUUUAUAAACGGUGAUGAUUUUUCUCAUAUUAUGAUAUAUGGCCUAUAGACGUAAUAUUCAUAUCGAUAUGUUAUGCCUUAUAAAUACGCUAUGGCUUAUUUAAAAUGAGAUGAUUUAUAAAAAUGACUAUAGAUAUGGGUUCUAGAUAUAUAUGUGGGCCAAAGGCCAUUAUUAUGAUGUUAUAAUUGUUCCAAACACAUUAUUUUUCCCAAGGCCUUGUUGUAAUAUGAGUUGACCAUUCGGGAAGUAUUUAUCCUUGUAAAGGAUAUAAUUAUGGUUUAUUAAUAUAUUAAUAAUUAUGGUUCCAUUGUUAAAAUACCGGUGAUGGCAUGCAUAGAUUUGGUACAUUCAUGAUUGCCACAUCAAUGAUUGAUAUGAUUAUAAUUAUAUUAUGAUCUUAUUAUUAUUGUAACUAAAUGAAGGUUAAAACUCACUUUCUACCUUAAAAUAGAUUUUUUCAUAAUAAUAAUUGCCUAUAUUAAUGAAUAACUUAUAUGUAAAAGAGAUUAAUAAUGGUAUUUUAAAAUAAGUGAUCGAGACAAAUCCCAUUCUAUGAUUUAAUAUUAUUAAUUACUCCUGUCAUGAGAAAUUCUAACCCAUUCUACAUUUUUAUAAUAAUUUAAUUACAAAUUUCACUCCAGACAACAGACUUAUAAAUUUACAUUCUUUUAGCCACGACUUAAGUCUAUGCACCUAUUAUAUCCAGAUGCAUAUCUCUCCAAAAUAGGAUGAAGAAAGAUGCUGGAUUGAUGAUAUAACUUUUAGGUAUAAUCAAUGUCAGACUUUAAUAUUAAUGUUAUAUAUAUGUGUAUUAAAUAUAUUUAUGAUGAUUGACAAUACUGAGGGUAUUGAUGAUAUUUAUAUUCGGUUCAAUAUCAAGUCUUGAUGAUAUUUAUGAGCGGUUUAAUUUUGAGUCUUGAUUAUCACCAAUUGGAUUUCGAGUCUUGAUUAUGAUGAUGAUGGUUGUGAUAAGGAUGGUUAUGAUAAUAAGAUUGUGUUAUUAAUUAUAUGUACAUUGCAUUCAUCCUUGUAUGUAAAUUAGCUAUCACCAGUAUGUGCCUAUAUCUAUUAGUGCAUAUAGAGGGGUGGCUGUAUUGAUAUGGAUGAUGACUAUGCCUUGUGGUGUAAUGUAUGUUGAUUGAACCUUCUGAGCCUAGGGUGGUGGGGGUAUGUGAUAGGCUCAGUUAUAUAUUUAGUUGUCUAAACUAGUUGGUUACUCGCACUGUUAUUGAUAUUUUUAUAUUCAUUAUUAUGUUUUUGGUUAUGGCUAGUUUGUGAUAGACCUGUUAUUGAUUCGGUAUCGAGAUUUGAGGUAUAAUUCUAGAUCUUCUAUCUUUAGGUUUCAUUGUUAUGCCUGAUAAAUUCAUGAUUAGGCUUAUGGGUUAGAAAACCUGAGUAUUCUAGCACUACCUUCUACUAUGGUUAUGAGGUCUUAAAUAGCUAGUCUGAUGAUGUAGGUUGUACUAUGAGUAGAUCUUGGUUAUAUACUUGUAUAUAUAUAUUUAACUAUAUGUAGCUAUGGUAUUACCAUAUAUCUCUUAUUUUCUUUAUUUACUUGGAUUAUAUACUUAUUCCUUGUCCUCGUAUACUUAUAUGUAUCUUCUUUCUACUCUUACUUGCAUAUUGGCCAGUGAUAUACAAUAUAGUUAUGAGACUCUUAAGCAUUCUUGGAAUAAGAUAUUGCAUUCUUUCUACUCCCUUACCCUUGAUAUAUUAGUCUCUUAGACAAGAAUAGGAUAGUGUAUCCCUAUUAUCUCAGUGGCUAUCUUAUAUGGUUGCUAGACAUUUAGGUGUAGUUUUCUAUUCUUUUUAUAUGUUAUAUAUUUUUGAUUUAUCUUUGGAGAUCAGUUGACAGUUGCCUACUGAGUACCACGUAUUUGGUACUCAUACUACACUUAUGUAUCUUACAGAUCCUAGUAUGGGUUAUCACUGUUAAUGUGUGCAUCGUGCGUACUAGCUAUGGUUCAGACACUUAGAUUGAGCUUCUGAUGUUUGGAGUAUUACUUUUCUCUCUCUUAUGUAUUGGACUAGUCUCUAUGUUUUAUUCAAAGAUAGGUUAUUUCAGUGUAUUCAUUUGUACAUCACUUUGAAAUCUUUUUGUGUAGAUGCUCUUGUACUAACAACACCAGGUUUUGGGACUAUAUUAUGUAUUUGAUCUCUUAUUUCAUCUUUUUUGCAUUUCUUUCUUUAUCUGCUUGGGUUGUCCAUUACUAGCUAUUCCAGACUAUGGGUUUGGUUUGCCUGUUAGUGGGUUAUGGUAGAUGCCAUCAUGACCUGGGAAAUUAGGUCGUGACAAAUUGGUAUUAGAGCCUAGGUUCAGCAGUGUGUUAGUAUAAGAGCCAAGUGUUUAGUAGAGUCCUGCAGAUAGGUACACAGACAUUCGUAACAUAUCUUCAGGAGGCUAUAGGGACAUUCUUAGGAAAAUUAUUUCUUGACUCCUUGUCUUGUGUCUGCAUUGCUAUGAACCUUAAAUACAUUCUUUGACUCUACUCUAUCUCCAAAUAGGCAAUAUGAGAUAGUCGAUAAAUGCAAAUGAGACUUCGACACUUAUUUUUAGAGCUUCAGUGCAACAUCAGACUAGAGAGUUAGAUAUGGAUAUUAAAUAUCUUCAACGCCAGGAAAAGGAUUUAAGGCCAUCUUAUGCUCCAAUAAGGCUCAUGACUACUUUACCCCUUUGAGGUUCAACAUUGGUGGUCCUAAGUAUGUUGCACAUCCCUCAUAUUUAGGGAUGAUAUUAGGUUCAUUGAGUAAGUACUCAUGUCAAAGUUAGAUUGGUUGGUGUUCAUUAGAAUUGUCUAUUAGAUCCUAAGCAUGAGAUUAGAUUUUUUGAGUAGGUCAGGUAUUUUUCUAUGCUAUAUCCUUCUGAGCAGGUUAUGGUGCAUGAAGUUAUUAGAGGACUAGCACUGUCAAUCUAUUUAGCAUUGGAGAAUUUGAUAGCAGUUGAUUCUUCCUCCCCCUAGACUAUUAGUUAUGCAAGGGUUAUAGAGUGAGUAUGCAUUGAAAUUUAUAGGGAUGGUGGUAAGAAACCAUGCUCUUGAUAUUGUCUAUUGGUAUUUCAUCUGGGAGUGAGGAUCACCUUACAAAGUUUUUGGUAUGGGCCAUUAGGACAUGAUGACUAUUUUGGAUUAUGAGGUGUAGUAUCUCGAAGUAUUCUAAGAUAUUGUUUUGGUUUUGGCUAGAUCAGUUACUGGUCUAGAAAAUAUCUUCAAAAUUAGAUUUUAGUCAUUUAGCUCAUCCAGAUCAGCCUCAUAGUGAUUAUGGCACCUUUAGAUAGAGAUAGUGCACUAGUGCUUAGUUGGCUAUUUACUUAAUCAAUUCGAGUUUGGACCUGUUCAUAUUUUACUCUCCCUUAGACCCUUCAGGCAUGUGAUUGCGGGUUUCACCAUAAUAGUUAUGAUUUUAUUUCCCUGUAUUUACCUUUUUAUUAUAUGUAUAGGGGUCUUUGUACCUAUUGAUGAUUAUAUGCCUUGAUGAGUUCAUAUUAGUUAAUGUGUCCCUUGUUAUUAAAUCCAUGAUUUUAUGACUACUUCAUGGCUUAUUUCUUUUAAUAAUGGAUGUGGUACAUCUGUAUUGAUAUUUGCUCUCUAUAGGUGUAGCAUUUGGGUUCGAGUCCUAUUUAUCUCGGUACAUUGGCCAUAUUAUGGUCCUUGAGUGGUACAUAAUAUUGAUGUUCAUUUUGGUAUCACCUAUUCAUUAUAUUAAUGUUGAUAUUGCUAUUGUUAUCAUUGCUUAAGGUUAUUGAUAUUACUAGAUAUUAUUACUUAAUAUAUCUGAUCCUCGCUGGGUAGCCGUAUAGACUAAUUUUAUCUAGAUAGGAUUCCAUUUCUUCAUGAUUCUUAUUUGAUGGCUUGAGUAUAUAUAACCCGAUUUGAUGAGUUUUUCUUAUAGUGAGGUGAGGUUGAUUACUUUCCCUCUUUUUUUGGCGGUGAUAGAUUGAUUAUGGCUUCAAUUAGUGUAUUGAAGGUAAGUUGACCUUCUGUGGUUCUAUGUGGUUCUAGAGUUGGAAAUUUAGUUAUAUUGCCUGUUCUAGAGUUUGAGAUUCUUAGACAUACCUCUUAUGUUGAGAAGGUUUUCACUUUGGGUAUCCCUUUCUAUAUAGCCUAUUUUUGAGCUUGACCAGUUUAGGGUCCAUUCUUUGCUUGUGGGUAUUUUUUUGUCUGAUUGUGGGUUUAAUAUUGAUAUCAAAAUGUCUUGGAUUUAUCUCUUAGAUUUGUUGGGUUCAUCUCCUAAUGAUGGUUUGCCCUUGUUUUUGGUGUGGAGUUGGAUGCUCUGUUCUUUCCGUGAUAUGAUUUUUGUCUAAAGUGGAGUUAGAGAGUUGGAGGCAAAUGGACUUUUCUAUGAUCGCUUCAUGAGUUACUUGGUUUAUUUUUGGGUUGGUGGCACUGGUGCUGAGAUUCUCAAAUAAUAUACUCAGCAUGAGUAGUAUGCUUGAGUUGGAGUCAAUAUAGUUUUAUUCUCUACUGGUGGGACAUCCUGGAGUGGAUCAUUCAAUGAUGAGUAGUUAUGCCUUGAUCUUCUGGUCUUCAUUUUGAUUACCAUCCGUACUAGCUAUAGCAUUGGAAUAGAUUGUAUUCCUUGAUUAUCUCUAUUUAUGUGCCCAAAUAAUUCCUUAUGGGCUUAUUCUCAUGUUUGUCGUAUGGACUUUUAGUAGACCAGUUUCAGUUCCUUGAGUUCUCUAUGAUAAGAUUGCGCAAACAGAACUGAGGUGAUUUUUUUAUCUUGGUUUGGAGUAGAUUGCAAGUGUUGAUUGGUAAAAGAAGGUUAUAUUUGGAUUCGAUAUCGAUGGUAUGACUAAUGUAUUAGGUUGGUUUUAGCUUCUAUGAGUAUUUGAUUGAUCGUAUAGGUGUUGAGAUAGUAUCAAUGUAUUGUGGUUCAGGUUUGCAUUUAACAACCUUUUUCAGUUUAACUGGAGGCCAGCUGGUGGUUGAGGUUAAGUUUUGACUAUUUGGAAAUGAAGAAAGAGAGAUGGUUAAAAAGGGAUACCAAUGGAAAAAUCCCUCAAAAGCGUUCUCUCAUCUUAGAGGUUAUCUAGGAGGUCAUGCUUGCAACAUAUGGGACCAGUACCUCAUCCUUUCAAGCUUUUGAGAUCUUUUUAUCUUUUGACUUUUGAAGACGAAAGUCUUUUUAGUAGUGGAUAUUGUAAUGACUCAUUAUUCAUAUUUCCAUUUAUUUUUGCUGUUAGAGCUUUUCCAUAGCUACGCCAAGUCAUUUAUGACUUGUUGGGACUGAUAGUUUGGUUAUUAGGUAGUUCGUUUGGUUUUUAGAUCCAGUUUGAUGUUUAAAAGUCUUUGCUCGUCUUAAAUGGCCACUGGGUGAAAAGUUCAAUGAAAUGCUCUCUGAUGCAAAUUCCAAUUGCACCAGCAACUUCAGAUUAUCAAUUUUAGGCAAAGUACACCUUUGGUUUGGGUCCCAAUUCACCCGAGCUCAUUUCGACCUAUUGAUCAAAAGUUUAGAAAAAUGGAAAUUUAGGUGUGGGACCCAUAUUUGGUCAAAAUAACCUCAGAUAGAAAAUUCAAAUUUGCCAUUGCUUUCAAAAUGUUAAAUCUAGUGUGGUUACAUAGUUCAUUUGUAUAUAUCAGAUUCUAAAUGAGUCCCGAGGCCUUAGAAAAAACUUGGAAAUUCCAAGUUUUAAAUUUGGUCUUAGGUCGGUGCCAUGGUAAUCGCAUCACGUAGGAGUGUGAUUGCACCUCACUGUGCAGAUGGGGGUAUUUCUGAUUGGACAAGGGUAUGUUGAGAUUGUAACAUCUAGUUCUGACACCAGAUAGUGCAAUUAUGGUUUGCAUGUUUCUAUUGCAAAAUCUGAUUACCUGGUAUUGGUAUAAAAAGGCCCAUAAGGCCACGUUUGGGCAUUUAUCACCCACUCUCUUGAAAUCAAAAACCCCAAAGGAUGUGGAAACUCAAAAUUGAGACUUGUGGGUGACUCGGGAGCUAGAUUUACAUCUAUCAUUGCGAAUAUCUUCGGAUAUUAGGUAAAAUUUCAUCCCUUUCUAGGUGAAUUUCUUGGUUUUUGAUCCAAAACUCCAAAUAGCUUGAGGGAUUAAUUUCAGCCCAAAAUUGCUUGGUUCUUACCCAUUCUUGAUGGUUAUGAUUCCUUGAUCUUGUAUGAUCAUUAGGUUGACAUCGAAAAUGUGAUUACCAUAAGUAGGACCCACUUGGGCUUUUUGGUGUUGUUUUUGUACCCAAAGGACAGUGGUGCAAUAUGGGUACCCAAACCACUUGGGGUUUUUGGUGAUGACAUUUGGGACGGUGAAGUGACGAUGGACGUUUGGUGAAUGAUGUAAGGAUUUGUGAUUUUCCCUUGAGGUAGGCUUAUGUCUACUCUCUCCAUAAGAUGAUGCAUGUUAUAUAUUGUGUGAGAAAGUGAAUGUUAAGUUUGAUUAUGGGUAGAAUGACUUGGUUUUGAAUAUUAAAGUUUGGGGAUUAGUUGAGGGUUUGACCCGUAAGUUAAAAUUCUUUAUCCCUGUUUGAAUCCUAUUGCCUCCUCCCUAGAUUGAACUAAUUCAAAGAAUUAAUAUGGUAUAGUGCUAGGUUUGGGAUGUGACUUUAGCAUUGGAAGCAUAGUUAGUAUAUUUAACCUUUUUUUGGCUAUUGUGUUAGGUGGAGUUGACUUAAAUGCCUAUAUUUCUAGGCAAAAUUCCUAUCCUAGGAUUAGUUAUAGCUUACUUGACAUCUAGAAGUUAAACUAGAUACCUUAGAUUAGUCUGGGGUAUAAAUUGCCUAAAUAUGGAAAUUGAGGAUUAGAUGUGGGUUUUUCUGGACCACCUUAGGUUAAGACUUAUGUUAGCCCCUUUGGACUUAGUUGCGGAUAUUAGGCAUGGUUGAGACUAUUGGACCUUUAGUGUAAGGUUGCUUCAUGACUUGAUGAAUGGUGAAGGUUUUCCCCAGAUUAUGAUAUAUGGCCUAUAGACAUGAGAUGCUUAUCGAUAUUUAUGCCUCAUAAAUAUGCUAUAGGUUAUUUAAAUUGAGAUGAUUUAUAAAUAUGAUUAUUGAUAUGGGUUACAGAUAUGUAUAUGGACCAAAGACCAUGAUUAUGAUGUUAUAAUUGUUCUGGAUACAUUAUUGGACCCAAGGCCGUGUUGUGAUAGGAGUUGACCAUUCGAGAAGUAUUUAUCCUUAUAAAGCGUGUGAUUGCGGUUUACUAAUAUAUUAAUGCUUAUAGUUCCAUUGUUUAAAUACUGGUAAUGGCAUCCAUAGAUCUAAUACGUUCAUGAUCGUUGCAUCAAUGAUUGAUACGAUUCAAAUUAGGUUAUGAUCUUAUUAUUGUUGUCACUAAAUGAGGGUUAAAACCCAAUUUCUGCCUUAAUACAGAUUUCUUCAUAAUAAUAAUUGCCUGUCUUAAUGAAUAACUAAUAUGUAAAAGAGAUUAAUAAUGAUGUUUUAAAAGAUGUGACUGAGACAAAUCUUGAUCUAUGAUUUGAUACUACGAAUUACUCUGGUCGUGAGAGAUUCCAGCCCUUUCAACAUUUUUAAAAUGAUUUAGUCCCAAAGUUCACUCUGGGCAACAAAUUUUUAGAUUUACACUCUUUUAGCCACGACUUGAGUCCGUGCACCUAUCAUAUCCAGAUAUAUAUCUCUCUAAUUUGGGAUGGGGGUAAUGCUGGAUUGAUGAUAUAACUUCCAGGUAAAACCAAUGGCAGACUUUAAUAUUGAUGUUAUAUAUGUGUAUAGUUGAUGUUCAUGAUGAUUGAUGAUAUUGAGGGUAUUGAUGAUAUUUACGAGUGAUUCAAUUUUGAGUCUUGAUGAUAUUUAUGACCGAUUCAAUUCUGAGUCUUGUUGAUAUUUAUGAUUGCUUCAAUUCCGAGUCUUGAUGAUAUUUAUGAUUGGUUCAAUUCUUUGUUGAUGAUAUUUAUGACCAAUUUGAUUUUGAGUCAUGAUUAUGAUGAUGAUGGUUAUGAUGAGGAUGGUUAGGAUAAUGAGAUUAUGAUAUUGAUUAUUUAUAUAUUUCAUUCAUCCUUGUAUGCGUAUUUUCUAUCACCAAAAUACACCUUUAUGUAUCAGCUCAUAUGGUGGAGGGGGUGCAUAAGUAUGGAGGUUGAUUAUGCGUUGUGUGUGUUGUAUGUUGAUUGAACCUUCUAAUCCUGGGGCAGUGGGCGUAUGUGAUAGGCUCAGUUAGGUAUUUGGUUAUUCGAACUAGCUGGUUACUCGAACUGUUAUUGAUAUUGUUAUAUUCAUUGACAUGAUUAUGGUUAUGGCUAGUUUGUGAAAGAUCUGAGGUAUGAUUUUGGCACUUUUAUCUUUCGAUUUCAUUAUUCUGCAUGAUUAAUUCAUGAUUAGGCAUUUGGGUUAGAAACCCUGAGUAUUCUAGAACUAGCUCCUGCUAUGGUUAUGAGGUCUUAAAUAGCUAGUCUUAUGUUCUAGGCUGUACAACGCGUAAUUCAGCCAAAUGUAGUUAUGGAAUUACCGCAUAUCCCUCCAUUUCUUCAUUUACUCGGAUUAUAUACUUAUUCCUUGGCCUCAUAUACUUAUAUGUAUCUUCUUUACACUCUUACUUUCAUAUUGGCCAGUGAUAUAUGUUAAAGUGUUCGAUAAUCAUAAGUAUUUCUAGAAUAAGAUAGUGCAUUCUUACCACUCCCUUAGCCUUGAUAUGUUAGUCUCUUGGGCAUGAAUAAGAUAAUAAAUCCUUAUUAUCUCAGUGGCUGUCUUAUAAGGUUGCUGGAUAUUUGUGUGUAGUUUUCCAUUUUGUUUAUAUAUUAUAUAUAUAUGCUUUAUAUUUAGAGAUCAGUGGGCAGUUGCCUACUGAGUACCAUGUGUUUGGUACUCAUACUACACUUCUGCAGCCUGCAGAUCAUAGUACAAGUUAUCGCCGUUGAUGUGCGCAUAGUGCAGAGCAGCCGUGUUUUAGAGACUUAGGGUGAGUUUCUGACAUUUGGUGUACUACUUAUAUCUCUCUUAUGUAUUAGACUAGUCUCUAUGUUGUAUUUGAAGUUAAGUUAUAUCAGUGUAUUCAUUUGUACAUCACUUUGAGAUCUUGUUGUGUAGAAGCUCUUGUACUGAUACCACCACUUUUGGGACUAUAUUAUGUAUUUGAUCUCUUAUUUUAUCUUUUCCGCAUCCCUUCCUUCAUCUGCUUGGGUAGUCCGUUAUUAGUCAUUCUGGAAUACGAGUUUUGCUUGCCUGUUGGUGGAUUAUUGAAGGUGUUAUCAUGACCUAGGAAAUUGGGUCGUGACAAAUAGACUCAUCUAUAGGUUGAUGUCUCCACCAGACCUUAAACACUGGAAUAACUCUAGAAUGCAACUAUCUAACAUCCCUAGCUAAAAUAGAGAUGGGAUCCUCAAUAAAAGACAACCUCUCAUCUAACUGGACUAAAUCCUAAUGAAUAACAUGAAAUUCAUCCGGAGUGUAACACUGAAGGACGGAAAUAUGAAAACUGGAUGAACAACUAAUAAAAUGUCAUGAACCAAACCAGGGCCUGGCCAUGACAUGUAUCUCAAGUCUGUCGAGGAUCAGAAACCACCCCCUUUACUCUAGCAAACCAGAACAAAAUACACAUUAUAGCGGAUGAAUUCCAAACAUAUAACAAGAUAGAGCUGAGUUCCAAACUUAUAACAAGAUAGGUAACUCAACUAACUUAAAAAGGAAUCUAAGAAUUUCAACAACCAUCCUCAUCCAUAGUAAUCCACAACCCUCUAUUAACCAAAAGACCACCUAUGUUGGGACAUUCCCCCAACUAUAGAAAAAAUGAGUCCUAAAAGAAAUAGUCUGAUACAUAAUGAAAUAGGAACAUGAAAUGAGGGUCUUUCGAUGUUUGGAAGCUCACUACUUCAAGCUGACUAACGAUCGAUCCAGAAAUCACCUAAUCAUUGCACAAAAAAAGAAGAAGUUUCUUCGGUUCCUGCAUCGCGUGGGGAUACACCAUUUGAAGAUGGUUAGCAGGGUGAGCACUAGCAUGUAACUCAGGGAAGGGAUAAAAUAAUGCAAAGUCAAACCAUAGUAAAAUCCACAUACACGCAGUAUACAUACAUACAUAUAUAAAUAUAUAUAGCAUACUGGGAAAGGGAGAAGGGUUUAGCAUGAAAAUAAAACAUUAACCUGGACUGUGUAGCUUAACCAUCAUAAAAACACCCACGAGAUAUACUGGUCCAACCUCCUUUGAUGUAUAGGCCCAGUGCGUGUUAGCCAUACGAACCGAAGAUAUCAUAGAGGCUGGGGAAUCCACGAUCCUUCGCAUCCAUGAUACAUAUAUAUAUAGUGUGACAUAAGCACACGGUCAUCAAGACCAACCCUUAUGCCAACAAAUAUAAGUUUCAAAUAUAGGUCCCGUAGGACCUCCACCUUCAUGGCCAGAUAAACAACCCUUUCUAGGUCCAAUUAAAACAUUUACACAUUUUCAUUUAUUGAACUAUAAUUAUCUAUUAAGGAAUACACUAUUGGUAUCGUCAUAUCAACUACACUAGAAAACUAUUAUCAUCAUGUCAUUUUAAUUAUCAUAGAUAAGGGGAUUCCACGACCCCACAUGCUCUAAUUAUUCAUCCACAUGGGGGAACCCAUGACCCCUUAGGUUUAAUUAUUCAUUAACUUGGGGGAAUCCACGACCCUCAAGGUUCAAUUUAAAAUCGUUAUGUUUUAAUCACCUUUUUAUAUCAUGCAGUGGUCCUAAAAGUAGUUCAAUAUGUAAAUUUUUAUGCUCAAAGCAAGUUUUACCAAAUUGGAUUGAGGUUAUACAAAUUCCAAUAUUAAAAAUCAACAUAGGGGGAAUACAUGACCCUUUUCCCAAUUUUCCAUGCCUUUGCACCCAACAAUUCAAAAUCAUCAAUCCAAAUCAUGAAAAAUUGAUCGAAACCAUGGGAAAAGAAAUUUAUUCAUUAAUGCUCAAAAGAAACCUACAUUCAAAUCAUCAAUUUAAAUCACGUGAAUACAACUAUAACUAAAUUCUUUUAAAAAAACAAAUUUUGGGGAAGAGAUACUUUCCUUAUUAAAAAUCAAGAAUUAUGGAGAGAAAUCAAUAAUUGAUGCUUGAAUGGCCAAUCCCUAGAAACCCUAGCUACCCUAGCUUAUUCUUGUUUGAAGAGUUUGGGAGACUUUAAUAGUGUAUUUGAUUUGAUAAAGAAUGGAAAUAACCCCUUUUUGGUGUUUUAUAGAUGUGGGGUCUAAGUAUGGAAAGAGGGAAUAUAACAAAGUACACAUAAUUAAAAAGCUUAAAGUUGUCGCCAGUGACUAUGAGUCACCCUAUAACUCGUGAGAAAACACUAUGAGUUAUCACCGUGACUUAUAGUCUAGAAAGUAACUCAGGGCACUUAUAUUUGUCUAACUUUGAUUCGUACCCUACGACUCGUACUCAGACCUUAUGACUCAUUAGGUCCAAUCGUGGUCAUAACGAAAAUAAGGGACCAUUAUAUUGGUAAGACAAUGAGUCCCAUAUUACGAAUCAUAAUGUCUCACCACAACUUAUUAUAUCUGUAUUGUACUCAGGCAAAAAACUUUAGGUAACACACUAUUCACCCUAUGAUUAUGGUCCUACGACCCGUAAUGACACCUCACGACUUGUAUGGUGAUAUAUGGUGUAUUUAUGUACUUUAGUAUCAUUAUCCUAGGUUAUUUUGUCUUUUUAAAGGAAAUUCAUGUUAUUUAUGUGUGAUUAUGAUAUUAAUAAGAAUUUAAGUGUUCAAGGAUGUGAUUACAAUGUUUAAAAGUGUUUUCCAAUAAGUUUGGGUUCAAAUCGAUCAUUUAGAGUUCAAUCGAGAAAACUAGUUUUACUAGCUUGAGCUAGGUGAUGUCCUAGUCUAUUUCUUUGGAUCCUAAUGUGUUGAAUGAGUUCCUAUUUUUUUAUUAUAAAAUUAUCAGUGGAAUAACUUUUUUGUAACGUACAAAGUAUAAUUGAGUCAAAACUAAAAGUAAGAUUAAAACUAGCGAAACUAGUUAUUAGCUUAAGAUUCUAGUGUGUUGCCAUUGAUGUGUUGUUGUUUCAAUCUCUAAUACAUGGUGUUUUAUUUUAUAAGAUAAUUGGAAAGUUUCUUUCAAUGACUUACAAAGGAUAUACAAGCUAAACAUGAAGUGGAAAUAACACCACGAGGCUUGAACAGAAGGAGAAAAGCAUGAGAACUUUUAGAAGCAAAAGUGCAAUUCCAGUGAGGGCACGUAGAUAAGCCCGCACAACCCCCUCUAGAGCGGUGCAAUGGAGCCCGUUUAUCCCCCUUUAGAGUGGUACAAUGAAGCCCGUGACACCCUAUAUUCUUGCAUAACCUAGGCUUCCUUCUACUAUAUAUACAUGAUUUAGAACACUUUGUACUGGACUUUCAGACGUCCUUGGAUACAAUUGGAGGCUGCUACAAACGUAAUUUAGGGUUCUUAAUAUUUAGUUUAAUUUCUUUUUUGUUUUGAUCAUUAAUUCAAGCCCUUGGAUUGUGGUUAAUUCCAUUAGCGGCUAAACUCCCCCUUUCUAGGGUUAAGGCCAAGAUCAUGAUACUUUUGUUUUGAAUUAUGUUUGUUGAAUUGCUUAUCAUUAUGGUUGUUUGUUUAUCCUUGUUUUAACUAUUUUACGGAUUAGCUACCCUUAGAAUAUAUUCAUUGUUGACCAUGUGUUCUCAGGAGGGGAAAUAAGAAGAUAGAACGCAGGGAUAAGCAAGGUAAGGUUCAGAGUCUAUUAUAAAAUAAGGAUUUCAAAUUAGCAUCUAGGACAGGGAUGUACCUAGAAGCCUUACUUGAUUCAAAUAUAGGAUGAUAUCUGUAAGAACUUGAUUGAAUUAUUACAUCCUCUCUAAAAAAUGUAGUUAUAAUGUCCAAAUUAUGUAAAUUAUUAGAGGUCGGGAGACAAUGAUCAUGCAUUAACCCUACGAAUCAUCAACCAAGAUAAGCAGUCCAAUGAAUGAAAUUAAAUGGCAUAGUAUGAUUUUUCGUAAGACUUAACCCAGGAUCUCUAUCCAUUUAUUAUCAAAAGUUAUUAAUUUUCCUCAUUAGUUUAGUGUACUUUUAGUUUACAAUUCUAAAACUCUAUUUUUUACUUUUUCUCAAUCGUUAAACUAGAAUUGGAUAGUUGGCAAACACAAGUCACUGUGGGAUCGAUAUUAACCUUUCUUUAAGGCCACUAUAUUACUUGGUAGACCACGUACACACAUGUGUGCGCUUGAGAACUGUCAAGUUU